CUCAGGGGUGAUCUUUCUGGGGUGAUCUUCCCGUUGCAACUGCCUGAAUAACGCCUCUCUCCUAACUUGUCUGCUUUUAUUUUGACAGUUUGGUGCCAGGACUCAGGAAUGGGACCUGAGUUCCACUGCCUUCCAUCUCCUCCUCCAGAUAACAAAGGCACACAGAGCUCUCGGUGUCCAUGUCCGCACCAUGGCCCAGGCACCUAGAGGAGAACCCCAUUCUCAAGCCGCAUUCCAGGCCCUAGUCGGUUGGUAGCAUGCUGCUGUCCUCUGCCACAUGCUUUUGUCAUGAUGUUCUGCCACACCUUGGACCUAGAGGAAUGGAUUCUGCCUUCUAAGGGCUAAGACCUCUGAAACAAGUUCUUGGAGGUUCCACCAAGAUAUGGUUGGCACUGCCUCUCAUCACAGAUCCCAGCCAGCAAGAAACUAUGGAAUGCCUCCUGCCUUGCUGCUUCCUUCACCAUGAUGUGAUCAGGAAGCACCAGCAUACUUAAGACACUGCACUUCAGGAUUCUAAAACAAGCGACCUUUGCUGUCACCUCUCAUGAAGUGGCUCAAUUUAUUUUACAGAAACACCACCACCAAGAGCCCUAGCAUGACUAGUUAUUAAAACCUUCUUCAUCUCACUCAGGAGAUUUAUGAUUGUCUCUAAGUUGUUGAACAACUAUUACAUCCAUUCAUCUUGCACAAAAGGAGGACCCACAACGUUGAACUCCGUUACCUGAGCUAUGUUUCUGGGAAACAGUGAGGGUUAAGAAAUAUGCCCAUCAUUUUAAGCUAAGAAAGAUUUCAAUUAAAUAUCCUUCUCCAUAAAACUGAGAUGACUCCCUGUACACUUUUUCUUAUAACUCCAAUAAGACUCAUGUGUGUAAGUGUCUGUAGUCAACUUAUAUGUGACAAAGAUGGCCAGAAUACUCAAUGGGAAAGAAUGAUCUUCCCAAUAAAAGGUUCUAGGACAACUGGAUAGCCCCAGGCAAAACAUGAAGUUGAAAUCUUACUACAUAUUAUACAGAAAAUUAAUUCAAAAUGAAUCAGAUACCCAGGUACAAGAGCUAAAACCAUAAACUUUUUACAAGAAGAAAGGUAAAUCUUUACAACCUCAGAUACUGUAAUCAAUUUUUAAAGAUGACACCAAAAUGUAACCUACAAAAGAAAAAAAUACCUAAAUUGAGCGUCAUCAAAUUAAAACUUAAAAUCGUGCUUCAAAGCAGAGUAUCAAGAGAGCGAGUCCUGGGGGUGUAGCCCAGUGGUAAAGCACUUGCCUAGCAUCAAGAGGGGGCUUGAACCCCAGGAAAAAAAAAAAAAAAA